CCUACGGGAGGCAGCAGUGAGGAAUAUUGGUCAAUGGUCGGGAGACUGAACCAGCCAAGCCGCGUGAGGGAUGAAGGUACAGAGUAUCGUAAACCUCUUUUGUCAGGGAACAAAGGCGGGGACGUGUCCCCGGAUGAGUGUACCUGAAGAAAAAGCAUCGGCUAACUCCGUGCCAGCAGCCGCGGUAAUACGGAGGAUGCGAGCGUUAUCCGGAUUUAUUGGGUUUACAGGGUGCGCAGGCGGUCUGUUAAGUCAGCGGUCAAAGCCCGGGGCUCAACCCCGGCCCGCCGUUGAAACUGGCAGUCUCGAGUUGGAGAGAAGUAUGCGGAAUGCGCGGUGUAGCGGUGAAAGGCAUAGAUAUCGCGCAGAACUCCGAUUGCGAAGGCAGCAUGCCGGCUCCACACUGACGCUGAGGCACGAAAGCGUGGGUAUCGAACAGGAUUAGAUACCCGGGUAGUC
rnacentral:rRNA from 1 species